UCGCUCUCUUGCUUCGCUUACUUUCCUACCCACUAGGGCCAGCCGCCUAGAUGUCCUAACCUUACUUUUGGCUGACUGGAGCCAGUGGCCGCGGUGUUCUAAUCUUACUUUUGGCAAACUAGAGCCAGUGGCUGAGGUGUCCUACUUUUAGGUCGACUGGAGCCAGUGGGUAUGCUGACCUGUGAUUUCUUCAAUUUGUUUUUGGUACCGGUCCUGGUUCCUCUACUCGUUCUGGUCGGCUGUGCUUGCAAAGAUGUUUCUGGUUACAGUAGAAACAAAAGCUGAUGUUACUUGCGUUGUACAACGAAUUUAUCGGAUGUGCUGAUGGCUGUCGGAAAAAGAAUUUCUGCCAAUUGACAUAUCCGACAAACUCGUCGUAUGAUGCAUGUGGGAGGACUUCGAUAGACCACAUAGAUGAUUAGUUAAUUUAAUAUAAAAUUUUCUAAUUGAUGGUCCAGCGAGAAGACUCCAGGCACUGAUCGAUGUGAGUGGACGUGUACUAUCGCAUUGUGCGCUAACAGGAUCUUUCCCGACAAAUAUAAGUCGAAGACGGACAUAAAUAGACAAGGAUACCACUGUCUCUCUCUCAGCACGAGGUCAUCUGCCAAAAACAAAGACAGAACUCUUUCCAGUUUAUUACGUAGUUCAAUGCCUUAUAUAGGAUCAAAAAGAAACUUAAGAGCAGCCAAAACGACGUUUUCAGAAGACACAUUUUUCGGCUCUCGAAAUAUUUAAAAUCCACCCCAAACAGCACAAAUCGUCUCCCAACGUUGAAAUAUUGGCCGCAGACCUGAUCUAACUGAAGAGUAGGUAAUCCUGUAUAUGCACAUACACUAUACAUAUGUACUUAAUUGAAAACUGAGGCUGCGUACCGUAAUUCACUGCUAGUGCUGAAAAUCUGUAGUUUAUGUUACGUAUAUUAUAGAUUUUCAGUACUGGCAACAAAUUAACGCAACUUGAGGUUUUUUAGUCCCAGAAGAACAUCAUCUGCUAUCUGUAAUAUUCGAUGAAAAAUUUUAUAUACAUUCAUAAAAUAUUUAUAAUAGUGUCAUUCGAAUAUAUUAAAAAUAUAUUAUAUUAUAUAUAAGCUACAUUCCAAUAUUCACUGCCACUGUGCUGAAAAUCUAUAGUAUACGUAACAUGAACUAUAGAUUUUCAGCGGUAGCAGUGAAUUUUGGAAUACAGCUGCAAUAUAUUAAGAAUAUACCAAUGAUAUAACAGUGUUUAAUACAUUCUAUGAAUAUAUAGAUAUUCGUAAUGAACAAUUCAUAGAAUAUUCCUGGGAGCUACAUUCCGUACGAUUAGUUGUAGAAAGGUUGCGCCAUUUUUUUCAAUGAAUUUCGCAAUAUAUCUAAUGUUUAAUAGGAAAACGUAUCUCCUGAGAAUUACUGAAGAACAAAUUCUCUUAUUGAACGCGGGAUCCGUUCCGAAGCUUAUAGAAAAAAAAAUAUUGUAACCGUUUUGUGACUGACUGUACACGUUUACGACAACUGUCGGUUCGUGUCGUUGCGCAGCUAUUUUAUAUGAUUAAUGGUCCGUUCUUUUUAGUUGUACUGCUGAACUAGUUUAAUAAAUUAAAGCGAAACAAAAUAUACUUGAUCUCGCUCUAACACACCAGUUCAGCAAAACAGCUAAAAAGAACAGAUCAUAUAUCUGCGCAACGACAUAUAACUAAUCGACAGUAGUCGAUAAGCACGUACAGAAUAUAGCCCCUGUGCUAUCUGUUUUUAUCUUCUUCGUAUCAUUAGUCGCAAAAAUUUGUGUUGCUUUCGCAUGUGCUACCUCGACACCAUGGGAUCUCACACACGCAGUACAAAAAAAUAAACUUAUUUAUAGCGGCAACACAUGUCAUUCUUGUUAUUUUCUCGCUGGAUAUUUCCUCGUCCGCUUCGAGGUUGAUCGAAAAGAUCAACGACGGAUAAAGGCUUCGAGGACUGAGUGAUUUAUCAACAAGAACGUCGAGAUAUUUAUUAACUUUCUCUGUGUGAGAAGAGCAAAUAAAAAAAACAAUAUUGUUGUUCUUAUUUUACUUGUCGCUCGCUUCUUUCAUAUCGCGUACUCUUGUAUGUGCGGAAAGAAAGAAACGCGCAUGAGGAGUUUACAUUCGUAUUGUUCGAGACAUCGUCGUGGAUGAUUCACCUCGGCGUUGGCCGAUUUGUCGUUUAUCGCCAAUAUGUCAUUCGCUUGUGGAUAAAACGCGGAUGUUAUUUUAACUCGCGCGCUUGGGAAAAGAGAAAGAGAAGGAGAGAGGUAAGGAGAGAACGAUCGUUUCAUUUCUCGCCGUUAUCGACGAUUAAACAUCACCGAUUUGAAAAUGGUAUUUUUUAGAACUCAACGUCCGCGCGGCCGGAAUGCGCGCGGUUGCAUAAUGCACACGGUAACCUUCGAACUCGGACGGGGUAAGCAGCGUUAUGCUCAAUAAAAUUUUAUUGCUGUCGUGGCAAGAUAACCCCGCGACGACGCUAGAUUGGAGACCCCUUCUUAUUCAUAAAAUCGUAACGCUCGACUCGACUCGUUAAAUAGUGACAAUAUAUUUUACGGCCGUGCAAUUUUAAUUUUAAAGCGCCGUUUGUACAUAGAAUACUACAAUUGUAUAUAUAUCGCGAGUACCGUAAGUAUAAGAGAGAUAGUCACGGUGUGAAAUUUUUUGUUAUUGAAUUGUACGUAGUCAGUGACUACGUACACGGAAACGUUAAUCCGGUUAUAAGUAACAACCGUGGUUAGCAAACUCUUACAUUCGAUUGGUAUAUUCUUUUAGAUCUAAUAAUAUAUUCCAGUUAAAUGCAAGAACUGACUAACUACUGCUAGUCUUGCUAUUAAAUCGGAUUAACGUCCCGCAAAAAAGUGGUUAUAUAUGAUUAUAUAUAAUUAUAUAAAAUCAUAUAUGAAUUUUGCCCAUAUAUGCGGUCACAUAUAUGAUCAUACAUGACCAUACGAAAAAAAUGAUGUUACGUCAUUCAAUUAAAUAUCGAUUUCACCUCAGCGUUGGCCGAUUUGUCGUUUAUCGCCAAUAUGUCAUUCGCUUGUGGAUGAAAUACGGAUGUUAUUUUAACUCGCGCGCUUGGGAAAAGAGAGGGAGAGAGGCGAGAACGAUCGUUUCGUUUCUCACCGUUAUCAACGAUUAAACACCACCGAUUUGAAAAUGUAUUUUUUAGAACUCAACGUCC